rnacentral:rRNA from 1 species
UACAGAUGGGAUUGCAUUGUUAAUCAUGAAUAGGCAGAGUGUUAAGGUGGGAUAGCAUAGUCUUGUCUUUUUACUGCUCUUCUCCAUAGAUGUGGGCACAUCUAUGGAGAACAUAUUAUAACUAGGGUAUCUCCUAUUUAAGGGGAUAUACGAUGUGGAGAGGAGCAUUAUAUUGACAAAAUAGUACUAGAACUACCUAGAGGAAUAUAGAAGAG